CCUACGGGAGACAGCAGUGGGGAAUAUUGGGCAAUGGGCGCAAGCCUGACCCAGCAACGCCGCGUGAAGGAAGAAGGCUCUCGGGUUGUAAACUUCUUUUAUCAGGGACGAAGCAAGUGACGGUACCUGAUGAAUAAGCCACGGCUAACUACGUGCCAGCAGCCGCGGUAAUACGUAGGUGGCAAGCGUUAUCAGGAUUUACUGGGUGUAAAGGGCGUGUAGGCGGGAAAGCAAGUCAGAUGUGAAAACCAUGGGCGCAACCUGUGGCCUGCAUUUUAAACUGUUUUUAUUGAGUACUGGAGAGGCAGACGGAAUUCCUAGUGUAGCGGUGAAAUGCGUAGAUAUUAGGAGGAACACCAGUGGCGAAGGCGGUCUGCUGGACAGCAACUGACGCUGAGGCGCGAAAGCGUGGGGAGCAAACAGGAUUAGAUACCCUUGUAGUC
rnacentral:rRNA from 1 species